GCAGUUAACCCCCACUACCUCCCUCUUCCUCCCGCACGCUCGUGCCCCACCUCCCCCACCCGCAACCCGCGAGCUCACUCGAGCCGCCGCCCACCUUCUCCGGCGCGGCGAACCCGAGCCGCCCCCCACCCUGCCCACCUUCCUCCUCGGCCACCUACCCCGCCACCCGACCAACCUCGAGUGCCGCCGCCUCCCAUCCUCCCUGGUCUGGCCAGCGCGCCGCCGCCUCCCAUCCUCCCUGGUCCGGCUAGCGCGCCGCUGCCCACGCGCCACGGCUGGUGCCGCGCAGCCACCAGAAACCAACCCUUCAAGGCGCGCCCUCCACACCGCCACGCACUGCGGCGUCCAGGCAAAAAUGUGCACCGCCGUUGAUCCCCUUUUGGAUCUCGCCUGUGGCGCUCCUUCUUCCCUCAACUCCGCUAAGAUCCGGCGAUGUACCCUCGACCUGGUCUCCCAUCGACAACACCACCGCCGUGCCACGUCGCCACCUCGACUAAGCCAUGGUCAAACGCUUCAAGAUCGGUCCCGUCGGCCAUCGCUGCACCGGGACGGGAUCCCCAUCCUCUCCGCUCUCUUCUCCGUUGACGGUGAGCGGGUGAGCACCCCUUUGCCCCCACCAUCCAACCUCAUCUGCUGGCGAGCACAGCUGGUAGCCGCCACCGUAGAUCCAACCCCCGUUGUCCCCCUCCGGCUGCUUUCUUCCCCGACGGUGAGCUCACUCUUUAGCAGAAGAAAAAUCGCCCACCCUCUACUCCUCGCUGCUCUCCUCCGCAUGGCUCAAGGGUAGGCGGCAGCUCCGAUCCAUCUCAGGCACCGACGACAUUUGUCGUUCCCCUGCAAUUUACUGUUUUGUGUUUUUCUGAAGAUAAAAAUUCAAAGUGCAGAUGUGGUCCGCUGAUGUUUGCUCUUGAGGUUCAGUUUUUUUAUUUUUGCAGGAAGAUGGUUUCCGCAAUUUGGUGGGAUGCCGUGUUGCAUUAUUUUUGCAUUUCCAUCGUCAUGCAGUUUGGACAGCGAGCCUUCCUCCGUGGCGCGUGCGUGUGUGCAAUCCGCGGCGUGUGUGUGCAGUGCAACAUGUCUAAUCAUGCAGUCCGCGACCGCUGUCGUGCAGCUCAUACAAGCCCGCAAUGAAGUUUCGUGCUUGUGUUCGUGCUGUUCGAUGAACACAAGUGCACUGCAGCUCCUGGACAGUGGACUGCGGAAGGUGCGGUGUGGUUGACGCACAGUUGAAGUUUGCCUGGGUUGUCGUUGUAGUACGGCUAGGUGUCGAAAGCUGUUUUUUCGAUUUUUCACGUUUUUAGAGACUGCUGUUCAUUAUUAAAAAUGUUUUAAAAAGGUCCAUCCAGAGCACUCUAUUUUAGUAAAUGACUUUAAAAGGUAUUUGCAGCUCACUUCGAUUUCCAUAGCAGCUCACUUUGGUUUCACUUGCCUACGGCGAAGUGCAGUUCGUUGCAGCUCACUCCAAUGUUAAAUUUUAGAGUACACACGGUGGUGGAUAAAAAAACAAAAAAAAAAACAAAAAACAGUGUGGUUCACUCACCUUGUCCUAGCGGUUCACUUGCCUCGUCCUCGAAGUGCGGAAGAAUUUCAAAAAUUAAAAGGAAAACAAAAAAUGUGUGUGGUUCAUUUUGAAGUGCGUUAGGUCCUUGGAUGUGGUUCACUUUUGGGAGUGUCGAUGUUCACUUGCCCCCAACAUGAAAAUGCAAAAAAAUAGCGAAACUACAAGAUGGUAAUGUGGUUCACUUUGAUAUAUAUUGCGGCUCACUUGCCCUUGUCUUUGCGGUCCACUCUUGUUCAUAAAAGAAAGUUGAAAAAAAGACAACGAAAACAAAACUCUUAUGGGAAAAUUUACAUGUCACAAAAAAAUCAUGGAGUGCACUUGUCGGUCUGAUGAAGUGAGGUUUUUAGCCUAAAUAAGUGUGGUUUUCUGUCUGAUGCAGUACAUCCCGUUUACAGUAGUCUCGAGGUUCACUUUUCAUAGUAUUGUGGUUCACCAACGCUCGACAUGGAGUGCACUCCACCUCGUUUGGGAAAAUUUACCUCCCACAAAAAAGAAAUCAUGCAGUGCACUUGGUCUGAUGAAGUGUCGGUUUUAGUCUAAAGAAGUGCGGUUUGCUACCUCGUUUGGGAAAAUUUAAGUCCCACAAAAAAGAAAUCAUGCAGUGCACUUGUCCGUCUGAUGAAGUGCGGGUUUUGGUCUAAAGAAGUGCGGUUUGCUACCUCGUUUGGGAAAAUUUACGUCCCACAAAAAAGAAAUCAUGCAGUGCGGUUUUCUGUCUGAUGCUGUACAUACCACGAUUUUGGGUCGCGAAAAAACAGAGUGUCCGCAUUUCGUUAAAAUCAAAAUUGCUUUUCAACCGUAAGGAAUUAGAGAGAGUGUUCUACAUGAAAAAUUUGCGCCUCAUUGAUAUCUUUCCAACGGUGUAUAAUUUGAAUCAUUUCAACCAGCGGUUUGCAAAAAUUUCGUGAAAACGGCCACCGCCUCCCAUCGUCAGCCGCACGAUUUUCAAAAUUAACUAAAAACCGUAAGGAAACUAAAAAAUAUUCCAACAUACGGAAGUUGCACCUUGUCCGUAGCUUUCCAACGGCGUAUCAUACUCCUCGUUUCGGCAAAUGGUUCAAAAACUGGAGCUAAAACAGUACCGAAAAUUGAAAAAAAAUCAAAUAAACGUAAUUCCGUGAUUUAGUAAAUUUGAAACUGCUCUUAAACCGUAACAAAUUAGAAAAAAAUAAUAUAUAUGAAAAAGAUGCGCCUCGAUGAUAUCUUUCCAACGACGUAUCAUUUGCUUUAUUCCGAUGAGCGGUUUAGAAAAAAUCACAAAAAUACGGUCGCUGCCACUCGUCGUUCGCCGCACCAUUUUUGAAACUGCUCUUUUACCGCGAGGAAUCUCGAAAAGUGUUCAACAUGGCGAAGUUGCGCCUAAUCCAUAGCUUUUCAACAAUAUAUUAUAUGCCUCGUUCCAAUAAAUGGUUAAAAAACUAGAGCAAAAACAGUAUCGAAAAAACACUGCGUGCAGUUUUUUACGACACGAAGUUCAGUAGUGUGUAUUGCAGUGCCCUUGCUACAGAAAGUGCAGUGCAGUUGCGUUGAGCGUGCAGUGCAGAAGUGCAUAAUAUAUAUUUGCGAGUUUUCAUUCAUUGUCCGAGAAACAGGAACAAAUUUCAAUCAGUUCGAUCAAAAGGUUCGGCCAGACGCGUAGGCUUUGUUGGUAUUUGAAUUACAGGAAAUGCAUAUAGAGUUCAGAAAUAACGAAAAUCAGUGUGUCACCGUGGCGUGCUCUCACGAUCCCAUGGAAAAUUUGUGGUAAAGUUUGGCGGAAGUUUUGAUGCUCGCACCUUCCAAACUGGAGCAUCUCACAUGAAGGAUCAUAGUUCCAAAAGGAGAGGCGGCACUUCGGACUCCAAAUCGUCGGUGACUACAUCGUUUCGCCUCGAAAAAUAUUCACGGUAAACAAUCAUGAGUAUUCCCUAGGUUCGAUUUGCUGGGCCAUUUCCGGUCUCGUCUGCUAUAUUUAAGUCAUUUUUUGCAUUUACCUUGCAUUUAGUGCAUAUAAAUUCAAAACCUACUACAACUACAUGUGGGUGUUAGUUAGCAAAGAAGGUGUACAAAAUAAUUUGUGUGUCGCUUUGCGAGUUUUCAUCCAUUGUUUGAGAAUCGAAGAGAAGUUUCAAACAUUUCGGCCGAGAGGUGCGGCCACCGGCGUAGGCCUAGUUGGUAUUUUAAUUACAGGAAAUUCAGAUGGAGUCCGAACAUCACCAAAAUUGGUGUGUGCCUGUGGCGUGCUCUCAUGGCCUCGUGGAUAAUUUUGGUAAAGUUUGGCACAAGUUUUGAUAAUCGCUCCUUGAAAACUGGAGCAUCUCACCAGAAGGAUCAUGGUUUCCAAAAGGAGAUGUGUCAAUUCAAACUCCAGUGGCCGGUGACUUCAUCGUUUGGCCUCAUAAAAAUUUCCAUGGUACGCAAUCACCAUUAUACCAUGGGUCUGAUUUUCUGGCGCAUUUCAGGUAUCUACUGGUACAGCGAGGUGCUAUACAAAUGGUUUUUAACCCCUUUCUACGACGGCGUUCUGAACCGUCGCCUAGUGAGUGACUGAGAUAGGGGGGUCCUUCCCACACGACCCAGGAACCGUCGGGGAUAUGCCCUCCUGGCAUAGACGCUCGGCAAAAUGAGGUCGUGUGCGACCGACGAGCGAUCAAAUAUAAUUAUACGUACAGUAGUGCUAAAAAAAUACAAUUAUACAGGCGAAAUCGGUUCCAGUUGUAAGUACAUCCCACACAGUCAGUCCCUACUAAACUUUUCCAUUCGUAUGUACAUUCCACACACUCAAUCCAAGGAAUACGUUUUCGUUAGUAUGUACAUCCCACACAGUUACUCCAAGAAGUACGUUUCCGGUCAUAAGUACAUCCCACACAGUCAGUCCCUGCUAAACGUUUCCGUUCGUAUAUACAUCCCACACAGUCACCCCAAGGAAACGUUUUCAUUCGCAGGUACAUCAGACACAAUUUUCCCCAUUAAUCGUUUGUGAUAGCGUUGCUAUUGCACAAGAAAUUAACAAUCUUAUCGUUUGCUUUAUUGAAUGCAUCACACAUGGUGCGUAGAAGAAACUGUGUGGCAAAGGCUGCCCAUCACACACACUUUUUAUGUGGUAAUCGUUUGCGCAAGGUGGCCUAACACAAAUAGUUUUCAAGAGGAUGCCGUGUGUGAUUGUUAAUUGAGCCAACACAGUUUAUUCCUAGAAACUGUGUGCGUGCCUAAGGUCAUCGCCCAUAGUGUUUUCUCAAUAAGCGUUUGCAAUAGAAAACUCAAUUAGCAGGCUAAUUGGCCUUUAGCAGGCUAAUUGCCCUAUUAAUAGUAAUUCAUUUAUUAAUCUAAUUGACAUUUCAUAUUAAGCACACAAUAUAUUUCAUUUCCAUAUUAAGGAAGCAGGAUUUCAUAAUUGAAAUACAUCAGAGUACAGCAUCAUAUAGCUUCAGCACUCAGCUACCUCAUUACACAACUACACUAGCACCAAGUUUCACAUGCAAAAUCUACAACCUUUCAAAAUUAAUGAUGAUGCCUCCCUGUUGUUCUCCGAGUACACAUUCUCUCUGCUUAUUGCCGAGAUGUGUAUCAGGAGAACAACGGGGAGGUGCUUCCGAAAUUUUGCGUCGGAUCCAGAGCAGAGCAUGGGAAAACAAACCCAAUCUACACAUACUCGGGUGGGAUUAGGACCUAUCUUUACCUAUUAGCGUGUAGGUUGCAUGGACGUAAUGAAAGUGACAAACUCCAUUAACCCAGACACAUAUGAAGGAGAAUUCUUCCAAGAAACACGUCUUUCCAAAAACCGUUUCAACAACCGCUCUACUUCACCCCAGAACAUUGAAGUAGACAGCGAUAGUGAACCCGACUUCACCCCUGAGCCGGAACAAGAAGAGCCUGAACUAGAAGAGGUUACUGCUGCGGAUGACCUGUCAAUGCUUGAGCGAUUACGUAAAGGUGGCCUUCCACAUGAUGAUGCAUUUAUUAAUGAUGAUGAUGAGCACGUCAUUACCGAUAGUGAUGAUGAUGCAUUUAUUGAUCCCGGAGAAUUUAUUGAACCCGACGAUCCAGAUUAUUAUUAGGUAUUCAAAUUUUUAUGUUGUACUUAUUUUGUGUAGUUAUUUGUAUGAUUGUAUGAUUUAUAUAGUUGGUAUGUAUAAUUUUCUUACUUUGUAUGAUUGUUUCUUAUACAUAGUGCCAUGGUCUUGAUGUCCGUCCCCGUCAGCCCUCGCCCGCUUUAUGAUCCGGAUGUGGUAAAUUCUCUUUCAUAACUAUUUGUUGCAUUUCACAUUUACGACAAUUAUGGCCAUCAAGUUGACAUAGAGAUAUUUUAAUCUAGGAGGUAUGUGAAUUGGAAUUUGAAACCGGCCCUCUUGUCGAGAAGUAUAAUUUAGUUGAAAAAGAAAAUGAGUAUUUGAAAGAAAAAAUUAAAAGAAUUGAAGAAGAGAAGAUGACAUUGGAGUUGUAUGUUGCCGAUGACGUCGAUGAUCACAAGAUGAAGAUGAAUGCAAUGCGCUUGAAGAUGGAUGCAAUGCGUCUGAAGCUUAAGAAGAUUAGAAAAUAUGCCAAUGAUAACAAGGCUUGGUAUCAUUAUGCCGUUGGAUCAAUUGUUACCUUAGUUGCGAUUUUCAUCACAUUUGUUGUGAUGAGGGUAAGUUUUCUCUAGUGUUUUGCUUUACAAAUGGAUACUUAGCUUAUUUUCCUCCUAAAUGGCAUAAUUACCUAAGUUGGAUAAAAAAUGAGCUAUACUUACCUUCUUCAGUUCAUUUAUGACAUACUUAGCAUACUUAGGUCAAAAAUGGCAUGAUAAACUUUGUUACCUCCAAAAUGAUAUAGACUUAGCUUAUUUUCCUCGAAAAUGACAUAAUAACCUUACUAAGCUCUAAAAUGAUCUAUUUACCUAGCUUAGCUCUAAAAUGACCUACACUUAGCAUUUUUACCUAGCUUAGCAAUAAGAUGGCAUUUUUACCUACCUUAGUUACAAGAAGAAGAAGAUAAAGAAGAGGAGAGGAUAAAAAGAAAGAGAAGAAAAAAAGCUUCUUCUUCUUCUAACUAGUCUUCUUCUUCUUCUUCUUCUUCUAACUUUCUUCUUUCCCAAUUUGCAGAUUUGCUUUAGAUGAGGAAGCUUGCGUUGAUGGAGUCUACUCUUCUCUUUAUGCUUCCUUCUUGUUUUGAUUUUGUAGGAUGAACAAUGUGAAACUUGCUACCUAUAUAUGUAUGUAUGGAUGAAACCAUUGUAUGCUUCUUGUGGGAUAUGUUGGCUAGCUAUAUAUGUUGCAUAUGGACUUUUGAUUUGCUAUAUAUAUAUAUAUAUGUGUUGGAUGAUCAUAUCCAUAUGGCAGGGAUAUGAUUUGGUAUGUAUAUGUGUUGGUAUGCUUGUCGAAAGUAUUUUCCUAUGUGUGUGUAUAUAUCUGUGAAAUUGAAUGAAUUUAAGAAAAAACAGAAAAACAGGGGCUAUACAGGCUCUUUGCCAUCUGCGGGCAGACGGCAAAGAGCUUUGCCAUCAGCAGUAGACGGCAAAUAUGCCACGUGUUAGCUAUCUGUGCAACCUGGGGCAGUAGGCUGGCCUAUUUGGAUGCUUUGCCGUCUGCUGGCAGACGGCAAAGAGCAUUGCAUCUUCGCCGUCAGCCAGCGGACGAUAAAGAAAUCAAAUAGGACAGCCCCCCAAGUGCUGCCACGUGGACCACUAUGUCGUCCGCUGGCGGACGGCAAAUAUGCAAAGGUCUAUGCCGUCCGCCAGCCGACGGCAAAGCACGCCGUUAACCCACUAACGGCCUGUAGCUCACAUGUUUGCCGUCCAGGUCCUUUGUCGUCUGCUGGUGGACGGCAAAGACCAUUUCAUCUUUGUUGUCCGCCAGUAGACGGCAAAGAUGCCUUUGCUGUAGCUCGUUCAGCCGAACCUAUUGCCGUCUGCUGGUGGAUGGCAAAGGCCUUUGCCGUCCGCUAGGCAUGCCUUUGCAGUCCGCCAUGGCAGACGGCAAAGUUCCUGAUUCCUGUAGUGAUAGAUUUCAUUUAUAGAUUAAGCAGUCAUUCUUUAUACAAACAGUUCAACUCGACAGCUGAACUGACCAAACUUUUCCCCAAUUGUUGCCAACCACAUACUGAAAUAGCUAGUUCAACUAUAUAUACUAGCUAAUUUUAAGUACGUUGUACAUUUUCACCACAUCUAUAGUCAGAUGACCUGAACAAAAUAACCCCUAAAUACUACUACUACGGAGGGGCUUUGUACUACUUUCGGCAGCCUCUCCUCUGCCGAGAGCUCAAUAACAUCCAGAGGAGGAGGAGGAGCCUACCGACGAGCUGGACAACUACAAUACGUUGCAUGCCGCUGUUGCACCUUUAGCGAUGCUCACCUCUAAUGCCCUCUGCUGCUCCAGACGACCCCUCUUGAAGCGGUAGUUCUCCAUGUAGAUCUCCUGAUUCCUCGCCUCUACGGCGGCGUGUGCUGCGGCCACGAUGGCGGUAAGUAUCUUUGCAUGCUCGACGAGGCCCUCCUCCUCCUCCCGCAGGAACUUGGUGUAGCGCGCAAGGUCGCUGACGCAUGUGCGGGCGUCCACCUCCGCCUCCCGCCUUCGGGCGGCGGUGGCGGAGUGGGUGAUGACCCUGGCGGUCGACGGUGGGCUGGCGGCCACGGCGGACGACGAUGGGGUGGCAGCCACGACCACCACCUCCCGCCUUCGGGCCGCGUCAGCGGAGCGGGUGAUGGCCACAAUGGCCAGCAGUGGGGUGGCGGCCACGACGACCACCUCCCGCCUUCGGGCCGCGGCGGCGGAGUGGAUGAUGGCCCUGGCUUUCGACGAUGGUGUGGUGGCCACAACGGCAGAUGGUGGAAUGGCGGCAAGGGCAGCCGACAACAGCUGUCCACGGGCAGCGGCGGCGGAGCGUGUGGUGGGUGUUCCAUGCACACCCAACAGGGAUGCCACGCGCACUAUACUACGUCGUGGACUGCGCCGCCGCCGCGGUGUAGCCUCCCAGCUGGAGCUGUCCUCCGAUGAUGGCGGAGCGGCUGAGAGACGACGAUGGACCGGUGCCAUUGGCGAUUCUGGGAGAAGCAAACGAGAUAAGCUACAGGGAGGGAGUGGAAAAUGCGACGCAGGACUCGCCAGCCGUGAGGGUUUAUAUAGCAGGCCAGUAAGCAUUGGGAUUUUGGGGGAUUUCACCGAGUCGGGCGGGAAGCUUGCGCGGGAACCUGCGAGGUUGCGCGGGAGCGGGCUCACCGAUGAUUCAUUGGCGCCACUUCGAGCCACCGUUUGGCCAAAAGAACGCCCCCAUGCGCUGCGCAAACUUGCGCUGUAAGCCGUCUGCGGCAGCGGGUGACAAGACGUGCGAGAGGAGGAUGAAAGGCCAUGUACACAUACAGUUAAUAAAAAACAUUUGCAAUUCAAUUGCCUACUAUACCCCCAUCCUGGUUUAUAAGUAGGAUUUAACUAAUAAAAUACGAAUGCAUGUCGCCAACGAUUGUAUCAUUGGAUUUGUAUUUGAACAUAGUUCCAAUUAUAUUUUUUUAUAACAUGCAUUAAUAUUUUGUUGGUUAAAUUUAACGGCAAAAUAUGGCACAGAGUAUAAAGAGGACUAAUGUGACGGAGGUAGUAGCACACGGCUGCUCUCAACGCAGCGACGCAACUGCCGGCCGGCUUGUAGGCGAUCAUUCCCUGCGUGUUCAACUGCUCUAUUUGUGUGGUUGCUCGCGGUUGAGGCGACCACGGCGUGCUCUGCUCGCGUCAAGGACGUGUACACAUGCUACGAGAUGUACAUGCAGAUCGUUGACAUGAGGGAGUGUCUUCUUCCUGCCCCAGACGAGGGAUCGAGCCACAGAGCAGUGGCGGGAGUGUCACAAGAAGUACAUGACUAGACAAUCAUUUCUCCUAGUUUAGAAUGCAUGCAAUUAUUUAUUGAGGUGUGUGCCAAUGAUCUGUAUAGUCACUUAGGUAAUUGGAUGUUUAUUUCAGUUAUAUGUGUGUGUGUGUGUGUGUGUGUUAUUCUUCCGUAGACAGAGCAAAUCACACGGCUUAUUAGCAACAAUCAUAUGUGUUAUUAUUGGUCUUCGCACACAUUUCUGAUCACGUACCUGUUUCUCGCGUAUCACACACAUCUUGUUCAGUUGAACCAUUUCCAUUGUGUUUCCUGAUCACAAUUAGUUCAUCCUAGUGAACUGUAUGCCAUAUAUCGCGCACACACCCUCAUCUGGCUGCCCAUUUUUGUUGUUCUUCAUCAUCGCAAACAGUUCUUUUGGAUUAACUGUUUGCCACUCAUUGCACACGGAACUCCAAUAUGAAUCGUGUUUGAUGACGCCACCAUCGCAAACAUUUUGUAUCUUUUUUGAUGGUUUUAUUACAUCAUCGUUUGGGAUUGAUGCAUCGCACACAGUUUCGUCGAAGGGUCUCUUAUUCGACUGUCGUGUUUUGACCAUCAUGUAGUAGUGAUCGUUUGCUAUAUUUAAGACUUUUUUUGAAUUUUAACGUGCAUUUUUGUGCAUAUAAAUAAAAUCACAACCGGAACUGCAUGUGAUGUCAAAAGGGAUGAGGAUUGUCAUUCGAUCUGGGAGCAUUUAAUGGCGCAGACGUACGAUCCCUGGGGUUUGAGUUCUGGCCAAUCAGAACGCACGACUCAGAUCGCGCGCGUAGUAGGGGGGCAUCGGCCACGGUUUGGUAGGCACACGGCUUUCAUGAGUGAACCAUGUGCUAUUUGAAAACAUUUACAUGAACUAACAACAUAUUUUCGUUUGAAUGAAAACAUGAGUUCAUCAUUUCGCCUCGGAAAAAAAUUCCACGGUAAGAAAUCACCCUAAGGUUCGAUUUUCUCGUGAAUUUGACAUCUCGUUUUCUAUAUUUGAGCCAUUUUUUCGUUUACCAUGCAUAUAUAUAUAUAUAUAUAACCAUGUCGCAACUACAUGUGUGUGUUAGCAAGAUCAUUUGUGUGUCGCUUUGCGAGUUUUCCUUCAUUGUGCAAGAAACAGGAAAAAAAAUCAAACAAUUCGGUCGUAGGGUGCGGCCAGAGGCCUUGUUGUUACUUUAACUACAGGAAACACAUAUAGAGUUUGGAAAUAAAGAAAAUCGGUGUUUCACCGUGGCGUGCUCUCACGAUCCCUUGGAAAUUUUUUGGUAAAGUUUGGCACAAGUUUUGAUGCUCGCACCUUCCAAAGCGGAGCAUCUCACAAGAAGGAUCAUAGUUUCCAAAAGGAGACGCGGCACUUCGGACUCCAAAUCGUCGGUGACUACAUCGUUCCGCCUCAAAAAAAAAGUUUCACGGUAAACAAUCACGGGUAUACCCUAGGUUUGAUUUUCUGGCCCAUUUCAGGUCUCGUCUGCUAUAUUUAAGUCAUUUUUUUGCAUUUACCUUGCAUUUAGUGCAUAUAAAGUCAAAACCCUACUACAACUACAUGUGGGUGUUAUUUAGCAAAAAAGGUGUACACAUCAUUUUUAUAUCGCUUUGCGAGUUUUCAUCCAUUAUCCGAGAAGCGGGGAGAAGUUUCAAACAUUUCGGCCGCGAGGUGCGGCCACAGGCGUAGGCCUAGUUGGUAUUUUAAUUACAGAAAAUUCGGAUGGAGUCCGAACAUCAUCAAAAUUGGUGUGUGCCUGUGGCGUGCUCUCAUGACCCCGUGGAUAAAAUUUGGUAAAGUUUGGCACAAGUUUUGGUGAUCGCUCCUUGGAAACCAGAGCAUCUCACAAGAAGGAUCAUGGUUUCCAAAAGGAGACGUGUCAAUUCAAACUCCAGUGGCCGGUGACUUCAUUGUUUGGCCUCAUAAAAGUUUCCAUGGUACGCAAUAACCAUUAUACCACGGGUUCGAUUUUCUGGCGCAUUUCAGGUAUUGUUUGCUAUAUUUAAGACAUUUUUUGAAUUUAACGUGCAUUUUGUGCUUAUAAACAAAAUCACAACCAGAACUGCAUGUGAUGUCAAAAGGGAUGAGGAUUGCCGUUCGAUCGGGGAGCAUCCAACGGUGCAGACGGACGAUCAGUGGGGUUUGGGUUCUAGCCAAUCAGAACGGACGACUCAGAUCGCGCGCGCGGUUUGGUCGGCACACAACUUUCAUGAAUGAAUCGUGUGCUAUUCGCAAACCAGAUUGCAUAUCUUCUAUUCAUACAUACUGGAGUGAGAUCAAUUGAGUAUGCUACCUCUAUGGUAUAAUAAUAAUAAUAAUAAACAGUUCAAAUUCAUUGCCUGAGCUGACAGCAUAUCAAGGUCAACAUAUUAAUGGUUCUUACAUCAACAAAAAACCAGGCAUAAAUCAUGAAUUCAGUACACGCGACAGUUCUAAAUUGAACGAAUUAAGUUGCAGGGUAGGCAUAAGAACUAGUCUUAUGGCUUAAUUCCCAUCACUACAAAAAAGUACACUUCCGUGAUGAUACGUGUUUGUCACAAUAGGUCACGUUUUCUGUCAUGCAUGUACAUCCAUGAUGAUUUUAUGACAGAAUCAAGAUAGUCAUACAUGUGAUGUCGUAGAAGUGUUCCAUGACAUUACCAAAAUUAUCAUCAAGGAAGUGUCCACUUCCAUGACGAUAAAUCGCUCAUCAUAGAGGUGCUUUCGUCAAGGGUGACCGACACAUGGCAUCCACCGUAACUGGUCGCUGUUAAGCUAUCGGGUUUCGGUUUUGAUCUGAUAACCCGUUAACAGGCCGGACCAAUGGGGAUUUUCCACGUGUAAAAUUCUCAUUGGCCAGAGGAACCACGUGUCAGCUCACCAUUGGGACAGAUGACAUCCACUCAUUGGACCGAAGGCGCCUAUGAUACGUCGACACGUGGCACGGCCCAACAGAGGCCCAUUCUAGUGAAAAGGCCAGCCCGCUUGACUUGCUCAAAAGGUAGCGGGCUAGCCCACGGAAAGCAUGUUAACGGCAUGUUCGCAUAUAGCCCAUUUACAGCCCGCUAACUCACAACCCGUUACGGCCUACCGGAAUUUGGCCCUGUAGCAUCAUCUGGGCCGUCCAAUAUGAUUCCAGCCCAUUGUAACUUCCGGCCCAUGUAUGGCCCAUGACGUCUUUCGGCCUAUAGGAGGCCCUUUGUAACUCUGGGCCCAUUAAAGGCAUGAGAUGAAACUAGCCCAUAAUGAACAAUGUAUCUUUUUAUACCCAUUAACGACCCAUUAUUCUGUCGGCCGUUUCCAGCUUAACUUUCGGCCUUCUAAGGGCCCAUUUAUUCUUGGGCACAUUUCUUGAAUUCGAUUACUUAUGGUCCGUUAUUGGCUGUUUCGCUUGUGGGCCAAAUUCAGCCCGUGGUUACAGUCGGCCUCUUUGUGGCCCGUUAACCUGUUGGGCUAUUUUCAUAGCGUCAUCAAAUACGGCCUAUUAACGGUCCAUUAUGGUCGGGCCAUAAAACAGACGAUUUCCACUCUAGCCCGUUUACGGCCCAUUUUGCGGACCGUUAUUAGUCCACGAAUAGUACGACCCAUGUUUGGCGAAACGAUUAUACGGCCCAUAGACGGCCCAUAGAUUAGACGACCCGUAGAAGGCCCAUGGAUCCUACGGCCCAUAGAAAGCCCAUGGAUCCUACAACCCAUAGAAGGCCCAUGGAUCCUACGGCCCGUAGAAGGCCCAUGGAUCGUAUAGCCCAUGGACGGCCAUGGUCACUACAAAAGGUAGCAGGACCAUGGUUACAACAGUCCGUGUGUUUCCAUUGUUAUUGUGGCCUAGUUACAAAAAUAGGUUAUUAUGGCCACUACAAAACACGGAAAAAGAACUGCAGUGACUACAAGCAAACAACUAAACAAGACAAUAAGGAAAUAAAUAAGCAAGCAACUAACGCUAGGCUAUUACGGCUAUUACACAUAUUACAUCCACCGGGCAUCAAAGUUCGCCACCAGUGCAAAUAUAGGGAACAAAGCACAUAUUACAUACACUGGCCGUCUAAAUUGGCUACCAGUGCAAAUAAACGCUGCAGGAAAACAAGUCCAUAACUGAAACAACUUCAGAAGAGCUCAAGAAACGUUAUCCUGGGUAUCCACCAUGCUGGCAAUAAGCUUAGCAAGCUUAUUAGCUUUCUCCUGUUUGGCGCUAAAAUCCUCCAACGCUUGUUGUUGCACCAGAAAGUAUGCAUCUGAAUGCUCCAGGGACUUCCGCAGUCCUUCGGCUUCUUGUCGCAUCACAGCUGAUCGAUGUAUUUCAGCUUGUAAUUGAGACUCAAGAAACCGACUGAUUCAGACAGUGAGUUUGAAUAGCUUGUGCCAGCGGUAGUGCCUAGUAACUCGAACACUAAACCAAGACAGGACUUUGGGGUUGUCUCACUAUCUUCAAGAUAGUUUUCCUUAGCUGUUUUAUCAGCUUUGUUGGAGACCAACAAGGAUGUCUCACUAUCCUGAACCUUAUCUGCAUUACUUCCUUUACCAUUGCUUAAUAAGGCACUCUUCCCCAAUAUUCUAUCAACAUUCUAAAAGAAGAAACAAGCAGACACAUAACAGGUUUAGCAUGUACUAGUAUAUGAAACUCAUUUCGGUGAACCAGUUCAUUA
rnacentral:lncRNA from 1 species